rnacentral:rRNA from 1 species
GACAGAGGGUGCAAACGUUGUUCGGAAUUACUGGGCAUAAAGCGCACGUAGGUGGUUCGUUAAGUCGCGUGUGAAAUCCCCCGGCUCAACCGGGGAAUUGCGGGCGAUACUGGCGAGCUGGAGAUCGGGAGGGGUGAGUGGAACUCCAGGUGGAGCGGUGAAAUGCGUAGAUAUCUGGAGGAACACCGGUGGCGAAAGCGACUCACUGGCCCGAUACUGACACUGAGGUGCGAAAGCUAGGGUAGCAAACGGG